rnacentral:rRNA from 1 species
UGAGGGAAAGCUGCAAAGUACUCUGAAGAGAGAGUUCAAUAGGACGUGAACCCGUCUGCAGGGAAGCGGGUGAGACCGCACGAUUGACCCACUGUGGAUUCAGCUCAGGGGAUCUGUUCUGUUCUGGCCGGGCAGAGUCCGGGGUCGGUCUCGGCCGACUCUGGAUCUCUGCCCGGUCUCUCGGACGGUUUCUUGGGUGCACUUCCGCGAACGUGGGCAGCGUGGGGAUCGGUUCGGGCUGCGCCUAAAGUCGUAGUGUGCCUAAAGUCGUAGGGGGUGGUAGCAGUGGAGCUCCUGAUCAGGGGAGGUCUGCCGUGAUGUACCCUUGCGUUCGGUGGCCGUGGCCCGGACCGAGGAAUCUGUCCGUCUGUCUCCUCGGAACGGGGGGAACAGGUCUG